ACUGGGGCUGUUCAGCCUGGAAAAGAGAAGGCUCUGAGCAUGCGCAGGCUGGCAUGCUCAGCUGUCACACCACAGAAUGAAGAGCAUCUUGAUCUGCUCAUUCAUGUGAAUCAAAAUAUUAUGACCAGAGAACUUGUACAGAGCUGAAUACGAGCCUCAGUGCAUUGGAAACAAUGGUGGCAACAUUGGAAUAUUGCAGAGUUUGUGCCAGAUCACACCAUUACUGGUGAUGAGAUGUGCGGCCACCAUGUGAGCUGGAAUCAAAACUGCAGUCCAUGGAGUGGUGACAUGUGAAUUCCUCAUUGAAUAAAGAAGUUCAGGACGUACUAUGAUGUGCACUGUCUUUUGGGAUGAGAAAGAGGUGAUCUUUCCAGACUUCCUGGAACCUGGACAGACUGUCAACUGUGACCUCGACAUCAUGAUGCUGACUAAGCUGAAGGCUCCAACUUCCAGAGUCAGUCCAGAGAAGAAAACAUGAGAGCUCCAGUGCCCAUACCAGUUUGAAGACUGUAGACACAUUGUGAAUCUUGGCCGGACUGCCCUACCAUACUCAUCAUGUAGUCCAGAUUUAGUGCCUUCUGACUUCCAUCUGUUUGGGCUGAUGAAAGAUGGACUGCAUCACCAACAUUUUACUAACAGUGAUGCCUUUGUAGCAGCUGUGAAACAGUGGGUCACCUCCACUAGUGUAUAUUUUUGAGUGCAGGCUCUUGUUCACGGCUGGGGGAAAUACAUAGAUACUGGCAGUGACUAUGUUGGAAAACAGUAUUUUGAAGCUGAGAAUAUGCUCUAUGAGAUAGUGUUAAUGUGCUUUUACAUCUGCUGUGGUUCCUUGGAAAUAAACAGGAGGCAUUACUUUGAGAGUGA